UACGUAGGUGACCAGCGUUGUCCGGAUUUAUUGGGCGUAAAGAGCGCGCAGGCGGUCGUUCAAGUCGAGUGUGAAAGCCCCCGGCUCAACUGGGGAGGGUCACUCGAUACUGAUCGACUUGAAGGCAGGAGAGGGAAGCGGAAUUCCCGGUGUAGUGGUGAAAUGCGUAGAUAUCGGGAGGAACACCAGUGGCGAAGGCGGCUUCCUGGCCUGUUCUUGACGCUGAGGCGCGAAAGCUAGGGGAGCAAACGGG
rnacentral:rRNA from 1 species